rnacentral:rRNA from 1 species
AUUGAACGCUGGCGGCAGGCCUAACACAUGCAAGUCGAACGGUAACAGGAAGCAGCUUGCUGCUUUGCUGACGAGUGGCGGACGGGUGAGUAAUGUCUGGGAAACUGCCUGAUGGAGGGGGAUAACUACUGGAAACGGUAGCUAAUACCGCAUAACGUCGCAAGACCAAAGAGGGGGACCUUCGGGCCUCUUGCCAUCGGAUGUGCCCAGAUGGGAUUAGCUAGUAGGUGGGGUAACGGCUCACCUAGGCGACGAUCCCUAGCUGGUCUGAGAGGAUGACCAGCCACACUGGAACUGAGACACGGUCCAGACUCCUACGGGAGGCAGCAGUGGGGAAUAUUGCACAAUGGGCGCAAGCCUGAUGCAGCCAUGCCGCGUGUAUGAAGAAGGCCUUCGGGUUGUAAAGUACUUUCAGCGGGGAGGAAGGGAGUAAAGUUAAUACCUUUGCUCAUGGACGUUACCCGCAGAAGAAGCACCGGCAACUCCGUG